rnacentral:rRNA from 1 species
AGUGAACGCUGGCGGUAGGCCUAACACAUGCAAGUCGAACGGCAGCACAGUAAGAGCUUGCUCUUACGGGUGGCGAGUGGCGGACGGGUGAGGAAUACAUCGGAAUCUACUUUUUCGUGGGGGAUAACGUAGGGAAACUUACGCUAAUACCGCAUACGACCUACGGGUGAAAGCAGGGGAUCUUCUGACCUUGCGCGAUUGAAUGAGCCGAUUUCGGAUUAGCUAGUUGGCGGGGUAAAGGCCCACCAAGGCGGCGAUCCGUAGCUGGUCUGAGAGGAUGAUCGGCCACAUUGGAACUGAGACACGGUCCAGACUCCUACGGGAGGCAGCAGUGGGGAAUAUUGGACAAUGGGCGCAAGCCUGAUCCAGCCAUACCGCGUGGGUGAAGAAGGCCUUCGGGUUGUAAAGCCCUUUUGUUGGGAAAGAAAAGCAGCAGGUUAAUACCCCGCUGUUCUGACGGUACCCAAAGAAUAAGCACCGGCUAACUUCGUG